UGGCAAGAGGCUAAGAGGGAAGCAGGUGAGAAUCCUGCGCGGUCCCGCCACUGUAACUGGUCUGCCGAACCCAUAUGCUGACCCACUGGGAAACCGGGAAGGGGGAGUAAGGCUAUAGACCGUAAGCCAGGAGACCUGCAUGAGAUUU
rnacentral:ncRNA from 1 species